AUGAGUUUGAGUGAAGUCCAGGAGUUGGUAAUGGACAGGGAGCUUUUCACUUAGCUGGGUUUAUGGCUUUAUAUAAACAUCCUCUGAAAUUAUGGCUUCUUUUUGUUGUUUUACAUGCUAUGUGCUUAGUCACUCAGUUGCGUCCGACUCUUUGCGACCCCAUGGACUGUAGCCUACCAGGCUCCUCCGUCCAUGGGAUUCUCCAGGCAGGAAUACUGGAGUGGGUUGCCGUGCCCCCCACUCCUUCAGGGAAUCUUCCCAACCCAGGGAUCCAACCCAGGUCUCCCGCAUUGCAGACAGAUUCUUUACCAUCUCAGCCACAAUUUCUGACGUGUCAAGGCAUACUUUGGAGACAUUGUGGGUUUGGUUCCAGGCUGCCACAAUAAAAUGAAUGCUGCAAUAACCUUGAACUCCUUUCAGCAUAUCUUAUAGUACAAGUCUAAUGGUGAUGAACUCCCUCAGCUUCUGUUUGGGAAAGUCCAUCUCUCCGUUCCUGAAAGACAACCUUGCUAGGGCUUCCCUGGUGACUCAGAUGGUAAAGAAUCUAUCUACAAUGCAGGAGACCCAGGUUUGAUCCCUGGGUUGGGAAGAUCCCCUGGAGGAGGGAAUGGCAACCCACUUCAGUAUUCUUGCCUAGAGAAUUCCAUGGAAGAGGAGCCUGGCAGACUACAGUCUGUGGGGUCACAAAGAGUCAGACAUGACUGAGAGAAUCUCAGGAACCAAGCAUGAUGCACUGGAUAAAAGGAACUGCUAUAAAUAGGCCUUUAGUGAUGUAGUGGAAAAAUGGGGGGACUGGGGGAGGAAGGGAAGUGCUCUAUAGUCCUAAGAUUAGGUCUCAGUCUUUUAGUGAGCCUGUGCCUCUGGAUUGUGAACUUCACAUGUGCUUCUCAGUCCCCUCACCCAUACCCUGAAAUGGAACAGGAUGACUUCGGGGGCAGGGGUGGGGGUGGGCUGGAGGGCGGACCCUGAACUGGUUAUUUCUCUUUCCCAGGCCAGUUAGGCUCUGAUAAAACCCCAUCUGGUUCCAUUCUGGUUAAACAGUUUCUCCUGAAGGCAGACCUUGUUAAGAAGAACUGAAUGUUCUGAUUUAUUUCAAAAUCGUUCCUGCAGAAUAGUUCCAGUAGAAGCAUGGUGGGAAAACAGGUUGUGG
ensembl:lncRNA